GUCAAAGUCAAAGUCAAUUAUAGACUUAAGUGGAAUAAAUUGUUUUAUUGGGGCUUAUUUUAUAUUUUAGAUACUUGAGGAUCUAUAAUGGACAUCAUUCAAAACCGGAGGAUUUAUUUUACAAGUAUGGAAAGUUUAAUGAGCAAAUUUUAUACAAAACAUUAUAGGAAGGACUUGAAUAGCAAAUCCGAGAGUUAAUGGAGGACAAGUGUCAUUGUAGAGGCUAUUUCUUCAUUUGAAAUUUGUAUACAGAGAGAGAGAGAGAGAGAGAGAGAGAGAGAGAGAGAGAGAGCUGGAAAUGGGCUAAGUAGAGAGAGGAAAAAAAACAAGAAGAAUCACGAAGAAAAGGAAAGAAAAGAAAAAAGAAAAGGGGAACAGGGCUUGGUCUUCAAUUUCCUCUCAAUUUUUCAGGGUAAGCAUAAGUUUUAUUUAUUGAAGGAUGAUAUUUGAUUUUAGGAUUGAUGGAAAUUUCUCAAAUUCGAGAUUUUGGAAGAAUUAAAGGUUAAUAGUAGGUAUUUAAGGUAUUAAACAAGAAUAUAUCAAAGAAGUGUAUAUUUGGAAGAUUUGUGUUGAAGGGGAGAAAAUAAAAAUAUAUAUGAAAUGAGUUUGUGAAUUACAGCCUAAAUAUUUAUAUUGAUUGUUUGUAUAUGAUAUAAAACACAUAAUUUAUGAUGUAUUACAAUGAGAUAUGGAGUUGAGGUUGAAUUUUGAUAUUUUAAAUUAAUUUUGGGGCAAAAAUUAAUGGGGGGUGCUAUUUUUGAAAUUCUACCAAAAAAGUGCUAUUUUUGUCAAUAGUUUCGAUGCCAUAUUUCAAUGUGCAGAACUUGGUACCAGAUUUCAAUACUUUGGGAUUUUGGUGCUAUUUUUGUCAAACCUUUGUUUUCUCUGAUUUCAUAAGUUUGAAUGAAACUAAAUGAUAAAUUUUGGAGUUUAGGUAUUGGAUUAAAUCAUUUAUAGGGGUUGUAUGUGUAUAAGAGAGUGAUUUUAAGAAAGUAUCAAGUACUUUAAUGGAGUUGAUUAUGUAAGUUGAUUGGUUGCUUAUAAUCAAAGAGAAAAUAACUUAGGGAAAUAGAGAUACAAGAAUAAAUAUAGGAGUUGAAGAAUUGC
rnacentral:lncRNA from 1 species